rnacentral:rRNA from 1 species
AUUGAACGCUGGCGGCAGGCCUAACACAUGCAAGUCGAGCGGAUGAAGGGAGCUUGCUCCUGGAUUCAGCGGCGGACGGGUGAGUAAUGCCUAGGAAUCUGCCUGGUAGUGGGGGAUAACGUCCGGAAACGGGCGCUAAUACCGCAUACGUCCUGAGGGAGAAAGUGGGGGAUCUUCGGACCUCACGCUAUCAGAUGAGCCUAGGUCGGAUUAGCUAGUUGGUGGGGUAAAGGCCUACCAAGGCGACGAUCCGUAACUGGUCUGAGAGGAUGAUCAGUCACACUGGAACUGAGACACGGUCCAGACUCCUACGGGAGGCAGCAGUGGGGAAUAUUGGACAGUGGGCGAAAGCCUGAUCCAGCCAUGCCGCGUGUGUGAAGAAGGUCUUCGGAUUGUAAAGCACUUUAAGUUGGGAGGAAGGGCAGUAAGUUAAUACCUUGCUGUUUUGACGUUACAAACAGAAUAAGCACCGGCUAACUUCGU